rnacentral:rRNA from 1 species
UACGGAGGGUGCAAGCGUUAUCCGGAUUCACUGGGUUUAAAGGGUGCGUAGGUGGGUUGAUAAGUCAGUGGUGAAAUCCCCGAGCUUAACUUGGAAACUGCCGUUGAUACUAUCAAUCUUGAAUAUUGUGGAGGUAAGCGGAAUAUGUCAUGUAGCGGUGAAAUGCUUAGAUAUGACAUAGAACACCGAUAGCGAAGGCAGCUUGCUACACAGUAAUUGACGCUGAGGCACGAAAGCGUGGGGAUCAAACAGG